rnacentral:rRNA from 1 species
CACGAUGACCUCGGUCAGGUAG